rnacentral:rRNA from 1 species
GAUGAACGCUGGCGGCGUGCCUAAUACAUGCAAGUCGAGCGAACGGGCGAGAAGCUUGCUUCUCUGAUGUUAGCGGCGGACGGGUGAGUAACACGUGGAUAACCUACCUAUAAGACUGGGAUAACUUCGGGAAACCGGAGCUAAUACCGGAUAAUAUUUUGAACCGCAUGGUUCAAAAGUGAAAGACGGUCUUGCUGUCACUUAUAGAUGGAUCCGCGCUGCAUUAGCUAGUUGGUAAGGUAACGGCUUACCAAGGCAACGAUGCAUAGCCGACCUGAGAGGGUGAUCGGCCACACUGGAACUGAGACACGGUCCAGACUCCUACGGGAGGCAGCAGUAGGGAAUCUUCCGCAAUGGGCGAAAGCCUGACGGAGCAACGCCGCGUGAGUGAUGAAGGUCUUCGGACCGUAAAACUCUGUUAUUAGGGAAGAACAUAUGUGUAAGUAACUGUGCACAUCUUGACGGUACCUAAUCAGAAAGCCACGGCUAACUACGUG